CAGAAUUGAACUGUAUUGGGAAAAUGUGU
rnacentral:piRNA from 1 species